rnacentral:rRNA from 1 species
UACGUAGGUGGCAAGCGUUGUCCGGAUUUACUGGGCGUAAAGAGCGCGCAGGCGGUCGUGCAAGUCGCGUGUGAAAGCCCCCGGCUCAACUGGGGAGGGUCACGCGAUACUGCUCGACUUGAAGGCAGGAGAGGGUAGUGGAAUUCCCGGUGUAGUGGUGAAAUGCGUAGAUAUCGGGAGGAACACCAGUGGCGAAGGCGGCGUCCUGGACCAACACUGACACUGAGGAGCGAAAGCCAGGGGAGCAAACGGG